AAUCAACGCUGGCGGCGUGCCUAACACAUGCAAGUCGAGCGAGAAAGGGGCUUCGGCCCUGAGUAAAGCGGCGCACGGGUGAGUAACACGUGGGUAAUCUGCCCUCGAGUGGGGAAUAACACCGGGAAACCGGUGCUAAUACCGCAUACGAUCACGAUGUUUUCGGAUGUUGUGAUGAAAGGAGCACUUCGCUCUUGGAGGAGCCCGCGGCUGAUUAGCUAGUUGGUGAGGUAAUGGCUCACCAAGGCAACGAUCAGUAGCCGGUCUGAGAGGACGGUCGGCCACACUGGAACUGAGACACGGUCCAGACUCCUACGGGAGGCAGCAGUGGGGAAUUUUUCGCAAUGGGGGCAACCCUGACGAAGCAACGCCGCGUGGAUGAUGAAGUCUCUUGGGACGUAAAAUCCUUUCGACAGGGAAGAAACCGCAAGGUUGACGGUACCUGUAGAAGAAGCCCCGGCUAACUCCGUGCCAGCCGCCGCAGUAA
rnacentral:rRNA from 1 species